rnacentral:rRNA from 1 species
GAUGAACGCUGGCGGCGUGCCUAAUACAUGCAAGUCGAGCGAACAGACGAGGAGCUUGCUCCUCUGACGUUAGCGGCGGACGGGUGAGUAACACGUGGAUAACCUACCUAUAAGACUGGGAUAACUUCGGGAAACCGGAGCUAAUACCGGAUAAUAUAUUGAACCGCAUGGUUCAAUAGUGAAAGACGGUUUUGCUGUCACUUAUAGAUGGAUCCGCGCCGCAUUAGCUAGUUGGUAAGGUAACGGCUUACCAAGGCGACGAUGCGUAGCCGACCUGAGAGGGUGAUCGGCCACACUGGAACUGAGACACGGUCCAGAGUCAUACGGGAGGCAGCAGUAGGGAAUCUUCCGCAAUGGGCGAAAGCCUGACGGAGAAACGCCGCGUGAGUGAUGAAGGUCUUCGGAUCGUAAAACUCGGUUAUUAGGGAAGAACAAAUGUGUAAGUAACUAUGCACGUCUUGACGGUACCUAAUCAGAAAGCCACGGCUAACUACGUG